rnacentral:rRNA from 1 species
UACGGAGGGGGCUAGCGUUGUUCGGAAUUACUGGGCGUAAAGCGUGCGCAGGCGGUUGUGCAAGACAGAUGUGAAAUCCCCGGGCUCAACCUGGGAAUUGCAUUUGUGACUGCACGGCUAGAGUGUGUCAGAGGGGGGUAGAAUUCCACGUGUAGCAGUGAAAUGCGUAGAGAUGUGGAGGAAUACCGAUGGCGAAGGCAGCCCCCCUGGGAUAACACUGACGCUCAUGCACGAAAGCGUGAGGAGCAAACAGG